rnacentral:rRNA from 1 species
UACGGGGGGAGCGAGCGUUUAUUCGUCAUGUACUGGGCGUAAAGGAUAUGGUAGGUGGUUCUUAAAAAUGUUCGGUUUACUUUUAAAAAAACUUAAAUAGCACAGGCCUUAACUUUGCUUUUACAGUUGUUCGUCUUUAAGAACUAGAGUUGGGAAGAGGUUUGCAGUUAUUCUUAGUGUAGAUGUAAAAUGCUUAAAAUCUUCGACGACUAUCAACAAGCGAAGGCGGCUUUCUUUUGUACUAAACUGACGCUGAGGUAUGAAGGGCGUGGGGAGUCAAUGGG